GACGAACGCUGGCGGCGUGCUUAACACAUGCAAGUCGAACGGAAAGGCCCUGCUUGCCGGGUACUCGAGUGGCGAACGGGUGAGUAACACGUGGGUGAUCUGCCCUGCACUUCGGGAUAAGCCUGGGAAACUGGGUCUAAUACCGGAUAGGAGCCAUUUUUAGUGUGAUGGUUGGAAAGUUUUUUCGGUGUAGGAUGAGCUCGCGGCCUAUCAGCUUGUUGGUGGGGUAAUGGCCUACCAAGGCGGCGACGGGUAGCCGGCCUGAGAGGGUGGACGGCCACAUUGGGACUGAGAUACGGCCCAGACUCCUACGGGAGGCAGCAGGGGGGAAUAUUGCACAAUGGGCGCAAGCCUGAUGCAGCGACGCCGCGUGGGGGAGGACGGCCUUCGGGUUGUAAACUCCUUUCGCUAGGGACGAAGCUUUUUGUGACGGUACCUAGAGAAGAAGCACCGGCUAACUACGUG
rnacentral:rRNA from 1 species